GACGAACGCUGGCGGCGUGCUUAACACAUGCAAGUCGAACGGAAAGGCCCUGCUUUUGUGGGGUUCUCGAGUGGCGAACGGGUGAGUAACACGUGUGUAACCUGCCCUUGUCUUUGGGAUAACUCCAGGAAACUGCGGCUAAUACCGGAUAGGAGCUCCUGCUCCGCGGUGGGGGAUGGAAAGAUUCGGCGGUUGGGGAUGGACUCGCUGCUUAUCAGCUUGUUUGGCGGGUAGGUGCUUACCAAGGCUUUGACGGGUAGCCGGCCUGGGAGGGUGGCCGGCCACAUUGGGACUGAGAUACGGCCCAGUCUCCUACGGGAGGCAGCAGUGGGGAAUAUUGCGCAGUGGGCGGAAGUCUGAUGUAGCGACGCCGCGUGCGGAAUGACGGCUUUCGGGUUGUGAACCGCUUUCGCCUGUGACGAAGCGUGAGUGACGGUAAUGGGUAAAGAAGCACCGGCUAACUACGUG
rnacentral:rRNA from 1 species